CCCUUAUAAACAGAUCCAAAACCACCUUGCCCUAUUUUGUUAGCUGAAGAUAAAUUGUUAGUGGCAACUAAUAUGGUGUUGAGACUUAAAAAGGCCAAAUCUGGAUGCUUAUUGCUGUCCCCUAGCUCAUUUGCAGUAAAAGUAUCUUUGUAACCACUGAUUUGAUCAACUGAUCUUCUAUUCCUUCUUUUCUUUACUUUUCUCCUCAACCAUAAACAGGUAAAUAUGGUAACGACAAACCAUACAGAGGCAACACACAGUACUAGAAUGGGCAGCGUCCCCUUCAUUUUAAGAGAACGGUAUGAUUUCCUUGCUUGCUUAGCUAAUUCAACAGCAUCAACACGAACAUAGAGAUC
rnacentral:misc_RNA from 1 species